rnacentral:tRNA from 1 species
GCCUGAGUGGCUCAGUCGGUGAAGCAUCUGCCUUCCGCUCAGGUCAUGAUCUCAGGGUCCUGGGAUCAAGUCCCGGGUCAGGCU